UACGUAGGGUGCGAGCGUUAAUCGGAAUUACUGGGCGUAAAGCGUGCGCAGGCGGUUCGUUAAGUCAGAUGUGAAAUCCCAGGGCUCAACCCUGGAACUGCCUUCGAUACUGGCGACCUUGAGUCCGGGAGAGGUGAGUGGAACUCCGAGUGUAGAGGUGAAAUUCGUAGAUAUUCGGAAGAACACCAGUGGCGAAGGCGGCAUCACUGGCCCGGUACUGACGCUGAGAUGCGAAAGCGUGGGGAGCAAACAGG
rnacentral:rRNA from 1 species